rnacentral:rRNA from 1 species
AUACGGGGGGUGCAAGCGUUGUUCGGAAUUAUUGGGCGUAAAGCGCGUGUAGGCGGUUUGUUAAGUCUGAUGUGAAAGCCCUGGGCUCAACCCAGGAAGUGCAUUGGAAACUGGCAGACUUGAAUACGGGAGAGGGUAGUGGAAUUCCUGGUGUAGGAGUGAAAUCCGUAGAUAUCAGGAGGAACACCGGUGGCGAAGGCGGCUACCUGGACCGAUAUUGACGCUGAGGUGCGAAAGCCGGGGGAGC